CAAGUAAACUCCUCCUUCCGUGCGGUGCGCUGGUUGCGUUAGGUGUUUCGACACCAUCAGAAAGCAGCCGGAACAGAUACUGCAGUACCGCGCUCUUCCUGGAGCUCCAAUGUCACUCCGAGGUCACCACGCAGAAGAAAACACCUGCGGGUGGGCUGGGGCAAUGGCUCAGUCAGGAAAACGUAUGCCUGGACUGCAUGAGGACCUGAGGCCAGUCCUCGGAAUCUACAUUUUAAAGAAAAACUUCAAGUGGAAUGGUGACUACUUAGCCAGAGGGCCAGGAGAAACAAGUGGAUCCCUCGGGCUCCCUGCUCAGCCAAGCUAGUCGAUUUGGGAAUAAAAACAUAGACAGCAUCUGAGGAAUGACCCCAGAAGCCAGCACCGGUCAUGGCCCCGUUGGAAGCUUGCCUUUCCAGUAGCCAAAGGACAGGAUGAAAAUCUGCUGACCUCCCGCCGGAGCAACUUCCUUCAGACCUCACAGGCUCAGGCGGACAGAACAGAGGCGUUCCCACCAAACUGAGCUGGCACCUGGCCCUCUCCUGCUCACAGUGAUGCAUCAGUGGAGCAGAGAAAGAGGUGGCUGGGCCUCCCAGAUCUCAACUUAAAAAAUGACAGUUAGAAAAGCCAGUUAUGUGGGGAGAUCUGUCCGGAGUAACUGUCUCCCCAGUAGAAAAAAAAUUCAACAUGCAAAAUUCAAGAUGGACAAGAAGCAUGGUGGUACAGGUCUUUAAUCUCAGCACUUGGGAGGCAGAGGCAGGUAGAUCUCUGUGAGGUUGAGGUCAGUCAGUCUGGCCUACACAGCGAGUUCCAGGACAGCCAGGACUACACAAUGAAAGCUUGUCUCCAAAAAAGUAGGGCUGGGUGUAGUAGCGCAUGCCUUUAGUUCCAGGACUCAGGAGGCAGAGGCUAGACAAGCCUGGUCUACAAGUAGAGUUCCAGUACAGCCAGGACUACACAGAGAGACACUGUUUUGAAAAACCAAAAAAAAAAAGGAGCGAUGACAUUUUAAAAACAAUUUCAGUUCCACACACCUUGUUUUUCCUGACUCAGCUUCCAGAAUGCUGAGAUCACAGGUGUGCCCCAUGAUGCCUGGCUCUAAAGUCCAUUUAUUGGUGAGCAGAUAUUAACUGCUCAUUAUGCAGGAAACCCUGAACUUGCACCAGGAGGGGAGGUGGAGAAAAGACACAUUACUUCCCCCCACCCCCCCAGAAGCCCAGGGCUAGGAGGGGCCUGUGUGCAGACACAAUAAAUAACAAGUGGGCAGCUUGAAGCAGCAGAACCAGAAGCCAAAGAUUUUAAAUGAAGGUGUCAGCGGGGUGGGUUUCUUUUGGUGCAGUGGUUCUCAGCCUUCCUGAUGCUGUGACCCUUUCAUGCAGUUUCUCAUGUUGUGGUGACCCCCAACCAUAACAUUAUUUCGUUGCUACUUCAUAACUGUAAUUUUACUACUGUUAGGAAUUGUAAUGUAAAUAUAUGAUAGGCAGGAUAUCUGAUAUGGGACCCCUGUGACAGGGUCGCUCUACCCCUAAAGGGGUCACCACAUACAGGUUGAAAAACCAUUGUUCUGGAAGCUGAGGGAGACGCUAUUCUGUCUCUCUCCAAACUUCCUGUGGCUGACCGCAGUCCUUGGUAGGGACACAUCCUUGUGUCCCUUGGUAGAGACACAUCCCUCUGAUCUCUGCCUCUAUCCUUGUAUUUACUGCCUCUGUAUCCCCUUUUAUUCAUUGUUUUGUUUUGGUUUUUGAGAUGAGGGUCUACGUAGCCCAGGCUGGCCUUAAAUUCUUGACCCUUCUGUCUAAUAUUCCUGAAUGCUAGAACAGAAUCAUAGGCAUGAACCACUGUGCCCCUGCUCCCAGGCUUCUCUUACAAGGAUAGUAGUCAUUGGAUUUGCUUCGCCUUAAACCCAUUGUUAUUGAAUCAUCAAGAUCCUUUGGCACACACACCUUUAAUCCCAGCACUCGGGAGGCAGAGGCAUGUGGAUCUCUUGAGAGUUCAAGGUCAGCCUGGUCUACAGAGCGAGUUCCAGGACAGGCUCCAAAGCCACGCAGAGAAACUCUGUCCCAAAAAACAAAACAAACAAACAAAAAGAUCCUUCACUACUCAAAUUUGUGAAGACUCUGAGUUUCUGGAUAGACAUGAAUUUGGAAGAGAGUGUGUGUGUGUGUGGGGGGGCGGGUGCUAUUUAACACAACCCACGUGGUCAGCCAUGGAAAGAUUCAUGUAAAGCUGCAAGAGCAGGGCACACGUGACCCUUGGUAAACUGAGACCUAAGUGGUAAACAGCAACUCUGAGAAACAGGAAGUGGACAGUGAGCACAUGAAUUAUCCACCACACAGAUCAGUAAAGUGUGACCCACCCAGGGAGGUGACUACUGAAGUCAGACGAAAGACAGAGAGGCAGGGGAGAAACACAAUUCGUGAGAUGUUUUAUGGAGUUAAGUUUGGGUUGUAAAUGUCUCUGAAAGGUUGGAGGCAGAAGAAAAUUCCAGAAAGUUCAGCCUGGCUGGGAUGAGCACGAUGGUGAAGACAGAGGCAAGGGUCUUUUAUCUCAAGGAAAAGAUCCGAGUAUUGGAAGGCAUGAGGUAGAAACUCUGUGGAGAUGUUCCCCAGGUUGUCCCUAGCAACAAGCUGAAGCCGCUUCCACUGAGCCAAAUGUAGGGUUUUACAAAACACAGACAGGAUCCAAUGCUGGCCAGCCAUGCCCCUGCAUCCAGCUGAAUCAACACUGACCCAAAGGGGUGUGGGGACCUCAAAGGAGUCUGCAAGCCCUUCUUACACUUGUUCUCCGUCUAAGCAGGGAAAGGAGCUGGGAUGUGAACAAGACUUUUCAAUGACUGUCCUAUAAACACUACACCCGUCAGACACGUACACAAUCCCUUUUAUGGUCCAUGAAAUGUACAUCCCUUAAAUGCUACUUGGCGUCUGCUCACAAAUAAAUGUGUGUCCUCAGUAGCUCUGUCUGCUCAUCAUAGACCAUCCACUCCCUUGAGCACCCAGGCAGCUGUCUCACAUCUUCUCCUCUGGACUCCAAAACUCCCGGUGUGAGCACAUGUAAGACUUGAUUGCUUACCUUCCUCUUAACCCGCCUCCCCUUUUGGAAAGUGAAUAACUUGAGGGCAAGAAAGUUUGUCUUGUCCACCUCUAAAUUCUCAACUCUUAACAUACAUACAUCUUACCAAGUGAAUGAAUAGAUGGUGAGUGGGUGGAUACAUGGAUUGGUGGAUGGAUGGAGGACAAGAGGAUGACUGGUAGAUGAAUGGAUGGAUGGAUGGAUGGGUGAUGGAAAGACAGACAGAUGGAUGGACGAACAGAUGACAUAUGGGUAGAUGAUAGGCAAAUAAGUGUAUGUAUGGAUAUAUGGCUAUAUCUUUGUGAUACUAUACUGGCUUCAAAUCUAAUAA